rnacentral:tRNA from 1 species
GCCCGCUUGGCUCAGUCGUAGAGCGUGUCACUCGUAUAACGAGCGAUGAUAAGAUCGUCAGUUCGAUUCUAGCAGUGGGCA